rnacentral:rRNA from 2 species
UAUCAUGGCUCAGGAUGAACGCUGGCGGCGUGCCUAAUACAUGCAAGUCGAGCGAAUGGAUUGAGAGCUUGCUCUCAAGAAGUUAGCGGCGGACGGGUGAGUAACACGUGGGUAACCUGCCCAUAAGACUGGGAUAACUCCGGGAAACCGGGGCUAAUACCGGAUAACAUUUUGAACCGCAUGGUUCGAAAUUGAAAGGCGGCUUCGGCUGUCACUUAUGGAUGGACCCGCGUCGCAUUAGCUAGUUGGUGAGGUAACGGCUCACCAAGGCAACGAUGCGUAGCCGACCUGAGAGGGUGAUCGGCCACACUGGGACUGAGACACGGCCCAGACUCCUACGGGAGGCAGCAGUAGGGAAUCUUCCGCAAUGGACGAAAGUCUGACGGAGCAACGCCGCGUGAGUGAUGAAGGCUUUCGGGUCGUAAAACUCUGUUGUUAGGGAAGAACAAGUGCUAGUUGAAUAAGCUGGCACCUUGACGGUACCUAACCAGAAAGCCACGGCUAACUACGUGCCAGCAGCCGCGGUAAUACGUAGGUGGCAAGCGUUAUCCGGAAUUAUUGGGCGUAAAGCGCGCGCAGGUGGUUUCUUAAGUCUGAUGUGAAAGCCCACGGCUCAACCGUGGAGGGUCAUUGGAAACUGGGAGACUUGAGUGCAGAAGAGGAAAGUGGAAUUCCAUGUGUAGCGGUGAAAUGCGUAGAGAUAUGGAGGAACACCAGUGGCGAAGGCGACUUUCUGGUCUGUAACUGACACUGAGGCGCGAAAGCGUGGGGAGCAAACAGGAUU